rnacentral:rRNA from 1 species
GAUGAACGCUGGCGGCGUGCCUAAUACAUGCAAGUCGAGCGAACUGAUUAGAAGCUUGCUUCUAUGACGUUAGCGGCGGACGGGUGAGUAACACGUGGGCAACCUGCCUGUAAGACUGGGAUAACUUCGGGAAACCGAAGCUAAUACCGGAUAGGAUCUUCUCCUUCAUGGGAGAUGAUUGAAAGAUGGUUUCGGCUAUCACUUACAGAUGGGCCCGCGGUGCAUUAGCUAGUUGGUGAGGUAACGGCUCAACAAGGCAACGAUGCAUAGCCGACCUGAGAGGGUGAUCGGCCACACUGGGACUGAGACACGGCCCAGACUCCUACGGGAGGCAGCAGUGGGGAAUCUUGCGCAAUGGGCGAAAGCCUGACGCAGCGACGCCGCGUGAGGGAAGGAGGCCUUCGGGUUGUAAACCUCUUUCAGGAGGGACGAAGCUACUCGGGUUAAUAGCCCAGAGGGUGACGGUACCUCCAGAAGAAGCCCCGGCUAACUACGUGCCAGCAGCCGCCGUAACAC